rnacentral:rRNA from 1 species
CCUGGGAACUGCGUUNUGAACUGGGUGACUAGAGUGUGUCAGAGGGAGGUAGAAUUCCACGUGUAGCAGUGAAAUGCGUAGAGAUGUGGAGGAAUACCGAUGGCGAAGGCAGCCUCNUGGGAUAACACUGACGUUCAUGCCCGAAAGCGUGGGUAGCAAACAGGAUUAGAUACCCUGGUAGUCCACGCCCUAAACGAUGUCGAUUAGCUGUUGGGCAGCAUGACUGCUUAGUAGCGAAGCUAACGCGUGAAAUCGACCGCCUGGGGAGUACGGUCGCAAGAUUAAAACUCAAAGGAAUUGACGGGGACCCGCACAAGCGGUGGAUGAUGUGGAUUAAUUCGAUGCAACGCGAAGAACCUUACCUGGUCUUGACAUGUGCGGAACCCUCCAGAGACGGAGGGGUGCCUUCGGGAGCCGUAACACAGGUGCUGCAUGGCUGUCGUCAGCUCGUGUCGUGAGAUGUUGGGUUAAGUCCCGCAACGAGCGCAACCCUUGUCAUUAGUUGCCAUCAUUAAGUUGGGCACUCUAAUGAGACUGCCGGUGACAAGCCGGAGGAAGGUGGGGAUGACGUCAAGUCCUCAUGGCCCUUAUGACCAGGGCUUCACACGUCAUACAAUGGUCGGUACAGAGGGUAGCCAAGCCGCGAGGUGGAGCCAAUCUCACAAAACCGAUCGUAGUCCGGAUUGCACUCUGCAACUCGAGUGCAUGAAGUCGGAAUCGCUAGUAAUCGCAGGUCAGCAUACUGCGGUGAAUACGUUCCCGGGUCUUGUACACAC